GGGGAAGGGUUCCAUAACACUGUAGGCAC
rnacentral:misc_RNA from 1 species